rnacentral:rRNA from 1 species
GACGAACGCUGGCGGCUUGCCUAAUACAUGCAAGUCGAGCGAAUUUACGAGAGCUUGCUCUCGUAAAUUAGCGGCGGACGGGUGAGUAACACGUGGGCAACCUGCCUAUAAGACUGGGAUAACUUCGGGAAACCGGAGCUAAUACCGGAUAAUUCACAUCUACUCAUGUAGAUGUGCUGAAAGACGGUUUCGGCUGUCACUUAUAGAUGGGCCCGCGGCGCAUUAGCUAGUUGGUGAGGGAACGGCUCACCGAGGCCACGAUGCGUAGCCGACCUGGGAGGGUGACCGGCCACACUGGGACGGAGACACGGCCCAGACUCCUACGGGAGGCAGCAGUAGGGAAUCUUCCGCAAUGGACGAAAGUCUGACGGAGCAACGCCGCGUGAGUGAUGAAGGUUUUCGGAUCGUAAAACUCUGUUGUUAGGGAAGAACAAGUACCAGAGUAACUGCUGGUACCUUGACGGUACCUAACCAGAAAGCCACGGCUAACUACGUGCCAGCCGCCGCGGUAA